rnacentral:rRNA from 1 species
AUACAUGCAAGUAGAACGCUGAAGAGAGGAGCUUGCUCUUCUUGGAUGAGUUGCGAACGGGUGAGUAACGCGUAGGUAACCUGCCUUGUAGCGGGGGAUAACUAUUGGAAACGAUAGCUAAUACCGCAUAACAAUGGAUGACACAUGUCAUUUAUUUGAAAGGGGCAAUUGCUCCACUACAAGAUGGACCUGCGUUGUAUUAGCUAGUAGGUGAGGUAAUGGCUCACCUAGGCGACGAUACAUAGCCGACCUGAGAGGGUGAUCGGCCACACUGGGACUGAGACACGGCCCAGACUCCUACGGGAGGCAGCAGUAGGGAAUCUUCGGCAAUGGGGGCAACCCUGACCGAGCAACGCCGCGUGAGUGAAGAAGGUUUUCGGAUCGUAAAGCUCUGUUGUAAGUCAAGAACGGGUGUGAGAGUGGAAAGUUCACACUGUGACGGUAGCUUACCAGAAAGGGACGGCUAACUACGUGCCAGCAGCCGCGGUAAUACGUAGGUCCCGAGCGUUGUCCGGAUUUAUUGGGCGUAAAGCGAGCGCAGGCGGUUUGAUAAGUCUGAAGUUAAAGGCUGUGGCUCAACCAUAGUUCGCUUUGGAAACUGUCAAACUUGAGUGCAGAAGGGGAGAGUGGAAUUCCAUGUGUAGCGGUGAAAUGCGUAGAUAUAUGGAGGAACACCGGUGGCGAAAGCGGCUCUCUGGUCUGUAACUGACGCUGAGGCUCGAAAGCGUGGGGAGCGAACAGGAUUAGAUACCCUGGUAGUCCACGCCGUAAACGAUGAGUGCUAGGUGUUGGAUCCUUUCCGGGAUUCAGUGCCGAAGCUAACGCAUUAAGCACUCCGCCUGGGGAGUACGACCGCAAGGUUGAAACUCAAAGGAAUUGACGGGGGCCCGCACAAGCGGUGGA